rnacentral:rRNA from 1 species
UUUUGUAUAAUGGGUCAGCGACUUAUAUUCAGUAGCGAGGUUAACCGUAUAGGGGAGCCGUAGAGAAAUCGAGUCUUAAUAGGGCGUUAGUWGCUGGGUAUAGACCCGAAACCAGGCGAUCUAUCCAUGAGCAGGUUGAAGGUUGGGUAACACUAACUGGAGGACCGAACCCACUGUCGUUGAAAAGCCAGGGGAUGACUUGUGGAUAGGGGUGAAAGGCUAAUCAAGCCUGGUGAUAGCUGGUUCUCCCCGAAAGCUAUUUAGGUAGCGCCUCGGACGAAUACCAUAGGGGGUAGAGCACUGUUUCGGCUAGGGGGUCAUCCCGACUUACCAAACCGAUGCAAACUCCGAAUACCUAUGAGUACUAUCCGGGAGACAGACUGCGGGUGCUAACGUCCGUAGUCAAGAGGAAAACAAUCCAGACCGCCAGCUAAGGCCCCAAAAUCAUAGUUAAGUGGGAAACGAUGUGGGAAGGCAUAGACAGCUAGGAGGUUGGCUUAGAAGCAGCCACCCUUUAAAGAAAGCGUAAUAGCUCACUAGUCGAGUCGGCCUGCGCGGAAGAUGUAACGGGGCUAAAACUAUGUGCCGAAGCUGCGGAUGUAUACUUUGUAUACGUGGUAGGGGAGCGUUCUGUAAGCCGAUGAAGGUGUGUUGAGAAGCAUGCUGGAGGUAUCAGAAGUGCGAAUGCUGACGUGAGUAACGACAAAACGGGUGAAAAACCCGUUCGCCGAAAGACCAAGGGUUCCAGUCCAACGUUAAUCGGGGCUGGGUGAGUCGACCCCUAAGGCGAGGCCGAAAGGCGUAGUCGAUGGGAAAAUGGUUAAUAUUCCAUUACUUCUGUGUAAUGCGAUGAGAGGACGGAGAAGGCUAAAUCAGCCUGGCGUUGGUUGUCCAGGUGAAAGGAUGUAGGCAUGUAUCUUAGGCAAAUCCGGGGUACUCUAUGCUGAGAUCUGAUAGCAAGCUGUACUUGUACAGCGAAGUGGUUGAUGCCAUGCUUCCAGGAAAAGUCUCUAAGCUUCAGUUACACAGGAAUCGUACCCGAAACCGACACAGGUGGUCAGGUCGAGUAGACCAAGGCGCUUGAGAGAACUCUGCUGAAGGAACUAGGCAAAAUGGUACCGUAACUUCGGGAGAAGGUACGCUGUUGUUGGUGAUGGAACUCGCUUCCUGAGCUGACGACAGCCGCAGAAACCAGGCCGCUGCAACUGUUUAUUAAAAACAUAGCACUCUGCAAACACGAAAGUGGACGUAUAGGGUGUGAUGCCUGCCCGGUGCUGGAAGGUUAAUUGAUGGGGUUAGCGUAAGCGAAGCUCUUGAUCGAAGCCCCAGUAAACGGCGGCCGUAACUAUAACGGUCCUAAGGUAGCGAAAUUCCUUGUCGGGUAAGUUCCGACCUGCACGAAUGGCAUAAUGAUGGCGGCGCUGUCUCCAGCAGAGGCUCAGUGAAAUCGAAAUCGCUGUGAAGAUGCAGUGUACCCGCGGCUAGACGGAAAGACCCCGUGAACCUUUACUGCAGCUUGACACUGAACUUUGACCUUACUUGUGUAGGAUAGGUGGGAGGCUUUGAAGCUGGAACGCUAGUUCCAGUGGAGCCGUCCUUGAAAUACCACCCUGGUAAUGUUGAGGUUCUAACUCUGUCCCGUGAUCCGGGACGAGGACCGUGUCUGGUGGGUAGUUUGACUGGGGCGGUCUCCUCCUAAAGAGUAACGGAGGAGUACGAAGGUGCGCUCAGCGUGGUCGGAAAUCACGCGUAGAGUAUAAAGGCAAAAGCGCGCUUAACUGCGAGACCCACAAGUCGAGCAGGUACGAAAGUAGGUCUUAGUGAUCCGGUGGUUCUGUAUGGAAGGGCCAUCGCUCAACGGAUAAAAGGUACUCUGGGGAUAACAGGCUGAUACCGCCCAAGAGUUCAUAUCGACGGCGGUGUUUGGCACCUCGAUGUCGGCUCAUCUCAUCCUGGGGCUGAAGCAGGUCCCAAGGGUAUGGCUGUUCGCCAUUUAAAGAGGUACGCGAGCUGGGUUUAGAACGUCGUGAGACAGUUCGGUCCCUAUCUACCGUGGGCGCUGGAAAUUUGAGAGGAUCUGCUCCUAGUACGAGAGGACCAGAGUGGACGAACCUCUGGUGUACCGGUUGUGACGCCAGUCGCAUCGCCGGGUAGCUAUGUUCGGAAGGGAUAACCGCUGAAAGCAUCUAAGCGGGAAGCCUACCUCAAGAUAAGAUUUCCCUAGGACUUUAUGUCCUCUAAAGAGCCGUUCGAGACUAGGACGUUGAUAGGUUGGAUGUGGAAGCAUAGUGAUAUGUGAAGCUGACCAAUACUAAUUGCUCGUGAGGCUUGACUAUACAACACCCAAGCAGUUG